CCUACGGGUGGCAGCAGUGAGGAAUAUUGGUCAAUGGGCGCGAGCCUGAACCAGCCAAGUCGCGUGAGGGAAGACGGUCCUAUGGAUUGUAAACUUCUUUUGUCGGGGAGCAAAAGACGCCACGCGUGGCGUUCCGAGUGUACCCGAAGAAUAAGCAUCGGCUACCUCCGUGCCAGCAGCCGCGGUAAUACGGAGGAUGCGAGCGUUAUCCGGAUUUAUUGGUGUAAAAGGGUGCGCAGGCGGAAGAUAAAGUCAGCGGUAAAAUUGUGGGGCUCAACCUCAUCGAGCAGUUGAAACUGGUUGUCUUGAGUGCAUGAGAGGUAGGCGGAAUGCGUGGUGUAGCGGUGAAAUGCAUAGAUAUCACGAAGAACUCCGAUUGCGAAGGCAGCAUAC
rnacentral:rRNA from 1 species